CAUAAAGAUGGUUCCCCAAGUCUUUGUACCCCAACAAUCCAUCAACCUUCCCACUGGCAUCAUCGUCAACACGAUGCCUCCAACAAGGUUUAACCAUUUUCAAGAGAUCACACUUAAACCAAAGACUGCAAGAUUAGGAUGUAACUUACACAUUCAUAUUUAUUUAAAAGACCACGUAAACCAAUCUCAAAAUCCAGUUUCUGCUUAUGCUCCAAUCCCCCAAUCAAAACUGAAGCUAUAUGGUGGCCUGAGCCGGAUAGCAUCAAUAGGUACAAUUCAGAAAUAAAGACCAAAAGGGUAUGGGCUAAGUGAACUGAAAAAUGUAUAUUGAGACAAGAAGGCAAUGGGUUUUAUUGUAGUUCAGAGAACAUGGAGGCGUGCUGGUGCUAUGUACCUUGAAUCUGGGUAGAGUACGUUUGGUCCUUUCAUGUGUGCCAUAUUUCAAUAAACAGACUUAGCUGUAAGAGAAGACAUGGAUUUGGUAGUGACAGAGUCUGUUCUGAGAUCAGAGAGAUCAAUGGAGCAAAGGAUAAGAGAAGGGUUUGGAGUUUUCAGGCAGAAG
rnacentral:misc_RNA from 1 species